rnacentral:tRNA from 1 species
GCGGGCGUCGCCAAGUGGUAAGGCAUCAGCCUUCCAAGCUGACAUUCAUGGGUUGGCAUUUACAAUACUCCUUGCAGUCGCCCUUACAGGGUACACACUCAGGGGGCGCAGGCAGGUAAGUCCCAUCGCCCGCU